rnacentral:rRNA from 1 species
AAAAGAAACUAACAAGGAUUCCCCCAGUAACGGCGAGUGAAGCGGAAGAGCUCAAGCUUAAAAUCUCCAUGUUUUACAUGGCGAAUUGUAGUCUAUUGAGGCUGUUGUCAGCAUAGCGAUUUGGGAUAAGUCCCUUGGAAAAGGGCAGCACAGAGGGUGAUACUCCCGUCUUUGCUCAGAUUGUCUAUGUGUACGAUACGCUUUCUUUGAGUCGAGUUGUUUGGGAAUACAGCUCAAAGUAGGUGGUAAAUUCCAUCUAAAGCUAAAUAUUGGUGCGAGACCGAUAGCGAACAAGUACCGUGAGGGAAAGAUGAAAAGAACUUUGAAAAGAGAGUUAAAGAGUACCUGAAACUGUUGAAAGGGAACCGUAACAUGUCCAGUGUUGUAUCUUGUGCAUAUUUCAUUAGUGGAGUAAUUUACUGGUGCCCUGUGCAUGAGUGUGACGUCAAAGUCAGUUUGUAUGCUGCGGGAGAUGGUUAGCAAGGAGGUGCGUCACUUUUGUGUCAGUUAUACCUUGUUAUCUAGUAGCCGUGGUUGAGACUGAGGUGCCUACAACAUGCUUAUAGAGUAUAUUGUUGUCUCGUUAUUAUACCUGUUUGGAUAGCUUGCUAUGCUGAUGGUCUAUAGUGGCGAUUGAUGAUGGUAUUAACUUUUUGCUGUUCGGGACU